GACGGUAACAGCCCGGUAGUUGAAAUGGCUUUCCCUCCAGAGUGGAUCCUGAGUACGGCGGAACACGUGAAAUUCCGUCGGAAUCCGGGAGGACCAUCUCCCAAGGCUAAAUACUCCCUAGUGACCGAUAGUGAACCAGUACCGUGAGGGAAAGGUGAAAAGCACCCCGGAAGGGGAGUGAAACAGUUCCUGAAACCGUGUGCCUACAAGUAGUUAGAGCCCGUUAAUGGGUGAUAGCGUGCCUUUUGUAGAAUGAACCGGCGAGUUACGAUUUGUUGCAAGGUUAAGCGGAAAAAGCGGAGCCGUAGCGAAAGCGAGUCUGAAUAGGGCGCAUAAGUAACAGGUCGUAGACCCGAAACCAGGUGAUCUACCCAUGUCCAGGAUGAAGGUAAGGUAAUACUUACUGGAGGUCCGAACCCACGCACGUUGAAAAGUGCGGGGAUGAGGUGUGGGUAGCGGAGAAAUUCCAAUCGAACUUGGAGAUAGCUGGUUCUCUCCGAAAUAGCUUUAGGGCUAGCCUCGAGGUAAAGAGUCAUGGAGGUAGAGCACUGUUUGGACUAGGGGCCCUUCUCGGGUUACCGAAUUCAGAUAAACUCCGAAUGCCAUGUACUUAUACUCGGGAGUCAGACUGCGAGUGAUAAGAUCCGUAGUCGAAAGGGAAACAGCCCAGACCACCAGUUAAGGUCCCCAAAUAUAUGUUAAGUGGAAAAGGAUGUGGGGUUGCUUAGACAACCAGGAUGUUGGCUUAGAAGCAGCCACCAUUGAAAGAGUGCGUAAUAGCUCACUGGUCGAGUGACCCCGCGCCGAAAAUGUACCGGGGCUAAACAUAUUACCGAAACUGUGGAUGAACCUCUUUAGAGGUUCGUGGUAGGAGAGCGUUCUAAGGGCGGUGAAGUCAGACCGGAAGGACUGGUGGAGCGCUUAGAAGUGAGAAUGCCGGUAUGAGUAGCGAAAGAAGGGUGAGAAUCCCUUCCACCGAAUAUCUAAGGUUUCCUGAGGAAGGCUCGUCCGCUCAGGGUUAGUCGGGACCUAAGCCGAGGCCGAUAGGCGUAGGCGAUGGACAACAGGUAGAGAUUCCUGUACCAGUGCUAAUUGUUUAACCGAUGGGGUGACACAGAAGGAUAGGGAAUCGCACGAAUGGAAAUGUGCGUCCAAGCAGUGAGUGUGAGAAGUAGGCAAAUCCGCUUCUCGCGAAGCAUGAGCUGUGAUGGGGAAGGAAAUUAAGUACGGAAGUUCCUGAUUUCACGCUGUCAAGAAAAGCCUCUAGGAAGAGUAGUACUGCCCGUACCGCAAACCGACACAGGUAGAUGAGGAGAGAAUCCUAAGGUGAGCGAGAGAACUCUCGUUAAGGAACUCGGCAAAAUGACCCCGUAACUUCGGGAGAAGGGGUGCUCUAUUAGGGUGCAAGCCCGAGAGAGCCGCAGUGAAUAGGCCCAGGCGACUGUUUAGCAAAAACACAGGUCUCUGCAAAACCGUAAGGUGACGUAUAGGGGCUGACGCCUGCCCGGUGCUGGAAGGUUAAGAGGAGUGCUUAGCUUCGGCGAAGGUACGAAUUGAAGCCCCAGUAAACGGCGGCCGUAACUAUAACGGUCCUAAGGUAGCGAAAUUCCUUGUCGGGUAAGUUCCGACCCGCACGAAAGGCGCAACGAUCUGGGCACUGUCUCAACGAGAGACUCGGUGAAAUUAUAGUACCUGUGAAGAUGCAGGUUACCCGCGACAGGACGGAAAGACCCCGUGGAGCUUUACUGCAACCUGAUAUGGAAUGUUUGUACCGCUUGUACAGGAUAGGUAGGAGCCGAAGAGACGUGUGCGCUAGCAUACGAGGAGGCAAUGGUGGGAUACUACCCUGGCUGUAUGACCAUUCUAACCCGCCACGCUUAGCGCGUGGGGAGACAGUGUCAGGUGGGCAGUUUGACUGGGGCGGUCGCCUCCUAAAGAGUAACGGAGGCGCCCAAAGGUUCCCUCAGAAUGGAUGGAAAUCAUUCGCAGAGUGUAAAGGCACAAGGGAGCUUGACUGCGAGACUGACAAGUCGAGCAGGGACGAAAGUCGGGCUUAGUGAUCCGGUGGUUCCGCAUGGAAGGGCCAUCGCUCAACGGAUAAAAGCUACCCCGGGGAUAACAGGCUUAUCUCCCCCAAGAGUCCACAUCGACGGGGAGGUUUGGCACCUCGAUGUCGGCUCGUCGCAUCCUGGGGCUGUAGUCGGUCCCAAGGGUUGGGCUGUUCGCCCAUUAAAGCGGCACGCGAGCUGGGUUCAGAACGUCGUGAGACAGUUCGGUCCCUAUCCGUCGCGGGCGCAGGAAAUUUGAGAGGAGCUGUCCUUAGUACGAGAGGACCGGGAUGGACACACCGCUGGUGUACCAGUUGUUCCGCCAGGAGCAUCGCUGGGUAGCUAUGUGUGGCAGGGAUAAACGCUGAAAGCAUCUAAGCGUGAAGCCCCCCUCAAGAUGAGAUUUCCCAUUUCUUCGGAAAGUAAGAUCCCUGAAAGAUGAU
rnacentral:rRNA from 2 species